rnacentral:lncRNA from 1 species
UACUAUAUUAUGUAUUAAAUACAAUUGUAAAUAAAAGCCAAGAAAUCUCUUAUCGAUAUACCUUAUAUACAGUCACCUUGAGUUUAAAAGAAUAGAAGUCAUUGCUUAUUUGUAAGAAUAUUUUUUCUGUGUGAAAAUGCCCGUUUGUGCUGCUUUUGGAUGCUGGAAUCGGUUUUUUUAAGUCUUAGUUACUUGUUUUGAGAUGGAAGAACUACACACCGAAAGGCCUGCAUGUUUUAUGUUCUGCUCAGUUCAAACAGAAAGAUAAUUUUUUUAUUUAUAAAUCACUAUUUUACAUUGUGUUUGAGGUCUCAAUAUACAUUUCCAAAGGAUUCCAAAAGCUGAAUAAAACGGACACGGGGAUCGAUAAAAUGGGAUGGAGAUCGGUAAUGAGAAAUUCCUUCACUGAUUCAAGAGAGAGAUGGCUACAAUAUCGUCUUGCUACGUCAACAGUCUUCACCAGCAAGUCGAAAAAGGAUGAAAUGGAGAGACUCUGCUCUUUCUGUAAGGAUAGCAGAGAGGCAUCCUUCCGUCUUUUUUAUGAAUGGAGUAGAGUGAUAUCUGUAAUGGUAAUCGUGGAACAGAAAAUUAGGGACUCACUUGGAAUAGAAUAAAAAAAGAAGAUUGGGUGGUGGUAAUGCACUAAACUACUCGGUUUCACCUAAAGGCUGACGCAGUCAUUACGAAAAUUAUUUACAUUUCAUACUUCACCCGGACUAUGUGCUCUGUUAUUAAGACGUCAGGACUCGAUGAUUUCAUUGAUAGACAAUUGAGGGUGCUUCAACCGUUCUGAACAAUGGUAUUUAUAAAUAAUUAUUUAUGAAAACAGGGCCGAGAUCCUUUCUUCUCUUCAGUGACUUGGUAGCUUCCCUAUAAGAUUUACCGUUUUUUAUUUCCCUCCUAGAAUAUAUGUUAUAUGCAAAAAAAAAAAAAAAAAAAAAAAAAAACGUAGGCAUUUAAGACCAUGUGCAAUCCCCAGCAAAUUUUCCUAUUCUAAAGAAGCAAAACCAAGGCAAAACACUUAAUUCUACAAAGUCACAUUAUCAAUCGCUAUUUAGCUCAGAUAAAGCCUCGGUAUCCCUUAAAACUUUUCUCAAGUCGGAGAAGUUGCAGACACUUCAUCUGAAAAUGACACAGAACCGGGACGUUGUAUACACCUUGAAAACCAAUUCAACAGUUGAACCAGUUUCCAAAAUGACGGCUACUCAUACUUUUAAAUUUAAGCCUGAUGUACGAGAGUGUUCCACACAAACUGACGAACUCCAGCAUAAUUCAGGGGAGUAUGUCACAUCGACUCUUCAUUCUUUAGGUAGAAUGGACUCAAAUUGUUUUUUGGUAGCUAUUUAUACAUAUUACAUAUAUGCAUGAGGCAAUUCAUCCUAUAUAUAAUGAUGAUCAGCUAUGUUAUCUGUGCAAUCAACAAAAAAUAUCACCGCCUGGUCUCCUUACACCAUAUAAAAAGCAUUACAGCUACGAAUUGCUUUUGGUACCACAGGAUACGAGAUGCUACUUCGACAAGGAUUUUCUCUACCGAGAUGCUACUUUGACAAGGAUUUCCUCUACCAAGUGUAAGGACAUUUAGAAGACGGUUGGAAGUUUUGGACUUAUUUUGUUGUAAAAGCUCAAGGUUUCCUCCUAAUGAACAUCAUUGUUCUUUAGCAUUCGAUGACGUGGCCAUAAAGUCUGUCGUUGUAUUCGAUGUUGGAAAGGCAAUAUCAUUAACUCUUUUCCUAGUACCCUCUCAUCCAAUGAAUAGUGGAUAUCCCACAUUUGAUCAAGAGCAUACAAAAUUUUAAAGAAUGAAAGUGAACCUUGCCUCUCACCUUCUCGGCUAACAAACGGCUGCAGCAAUUACUCGUUUCUACUCGAUCAUUUGAUAGUAAAUAUCUUAUAACGGUAUGGUUUUGUGAUCAAGUAGGACUUUGGUUUGACCUCACCACUUCCAGAAGACGAGACCAGGGAUUUCCCUUAAUCUUUCAGAGAUUUUUUAAGAACUUGCACAUUAAUAGCAAAGAUGGAUGGAAAACAAUCCAAAGAGGCAUAAUUUUAAGUACAUAUUCACUGAUAAUAGUGCAUCAUAAGUUUGUUUCGCUUUCUAAAUUUGAUUUUUUAUUGUGCAGCCACUUAACUCAAAACUGUAUUGAGAAUUUGUUAUCCUAUAUAAGAGCAGCAAAUUCUACACCAAAUUUAUAAGUUUAUUAGUUAUCUGACACUAGUAACUUUGUCACAGUGCAUUUCUGGGAUAGAUACUGAGAGCUAUUAAUUUGAUGAUUCCGUGUUCCUCAAUGAUCUAAAGAAUAUAUCUGAACAGCUUAAUAGAAAAGGGGUAGUUAACUCUGACCAAAUAUUUUCUUUUGUUUGCCUGAACUUGUAUACCUCCAAAAAUUGUCUUUAACUCACUUGGGAGGUUACUGUAUUCCCAGAACUAUCAAGUUGUCAUGUCUCCAAUGUUUAAAGUAUUAUACUAAGAACUAUAAUAUCUGCUCUUCUUUGAAUUUACUUUCUAAAGAAAAGUAUUUUUCGGAGAACUCUUUAAUUUAUUGUAGCGAUUCUUCAAUUUCAUUGUUUGAAAAGCUAGCUAUAUUUUUGAAAGCUACAAUCCAAGAAUAAGUCAGAUGAACAAUCCUAUUCAUCAGAUAUCUUAGUCAAUCCUGACAAAUCUUUCCAAUGAAUUUAUUUCUUCUUGUCAUUCGGAAGCAUAGGAUAAAAUUGCAAAAAAAAAUUGUAAUUGUAAGCUACACUUUAUUGUAGAAAUAAAAGUAUAAAAUUUGAAGGUGUCUCAAAUUUCUAAGUGGCAAGUAAUGCAAGCAAAAUCUUAUGAAUGUGGUAAAUUAUUUCUUAAUUAGUAAAUUCUCUGUUUAUUUGUAUAUUAUUUUCUAUAAAUAUAUUUAAUUUUGUAACAAAUCAAA